rnacentral:rRNA from 1 species
UUCCGCUUGAAGAUGAGUCUACGUCCUAUUAGCUAGUUGGCGGGGUAAUGGCCCACCAAGGCAACGAUGGGUAGCGGUUGUGAGAGCAUGAUCCGCCUCACUGGGACUGAGACACUGCCCAGACACCUACGGGUGGCUGCAGUCGAGAAUCUUUGUCAAUGGACGAAAGUCUGAACAAGCGACGCCGCGUGCGGGAUGAAGGCCUUCGGGUUGUAAACCGCUGUCGUAGGGGAACAAAUGUAUGGGGGUUCUCUCCUUUACUUGAGUGAUCCUAGGAGGAAGGACGGGCUAAGUUCGUGCCAGCAGCCGCGGUAAGACGAACCGUCCAAACGUUAUUCGGUAUCACUGGGCUUAAAGAGUUCGUAGGCGGCCAUGCAGGUCAGGUGUGAAAUCCCACAGCUCAACUGUGGAACUGCGCUUGAAACCGCAUGGCUUGAGGGAGAUAGAGGUGAGCGGAACAGAUGGUGGAGCGGUGAAAUGCGUUGAUAUCAUCUGGAACACCGGUGGCGAAAGCGGCUCACUGGAUCUCUUCUGACGCUCAGGAACGAAAGCUAGGGUAGCGAACGGGAUUAGAUACCCCGGUAGUCCUAGCCGUAAACGAUGAGCACUAGUCCGAGGGGACUCUCACAUCCUCUCGGACGUAGCGAAAGUAUUAAGUGCUCCGNCUGGGGAGUAUGGUCGCCAGGCUGAAACUCAAACGAAUUGACGGGGGCUCACACAAGCG